rnacentral:rRNA from 1 species
UGCUGGAGGUAUCAGAAGUGCGAAUGCUGACAUAAGUAACGAUAAAGCGGGUGAAAAGCCCGCUCGCCGGAAGACCAAGGGUUCCUGUCCAACGUUAAUCGGGGCAGGGUGAGUCGACCCCUAAGGCGAGGCCGAAAGGCGUAGUCGAUGGGAAACAGGUUAAUAUUCCUGUACUUGGUGUUACUGCGAAGGGGGGACGGAGAAGGCUAUGUUGGCCGGGCGACGGUUGUCCCGGUUUAAGCGUGUAGGCUGGUUUUCCAGGCAAAUCCGGAAAACUAAGGCUGAGGCGUGAUGACGAGGCACUACGGUGCUGAAGCAACAAAUGCCCUGCUUCCAGGAAAAGCCUCUAAGCAUCAGGUAACAUCAAAUCGUACCCCAAACCGACACAGGUGGUCAGGUAGAGAAUACCAAGGCGCUUGAGAGAACUCGGGUGAAGGAACUAGGCAAAAUGGUGCCGUAACUUCGGGAGAAGGCACGCUGAUAUGUAGGUGAAGCGACUUGCUCGUGGAGCUGAAAUCAGUCGAAGAUACCAGCUGGCUGCAACUGUUUAUUAAAAACACAGCACUGUGCAAACACGAAAGUGGACGUAUACGGUGUGACGCCUGCCCGGUGCCGGAAGGUUAAUUGAUGGGGUUAGCGGUAACGCGAAGCUCUUGAUCGAAGCCCCGGUAAACGGCGGCCGUAACUAUAACGGUCCUAAGGUAGCGAAAUUCCUUGUCGGGUAAGUUCCGACCUGCACGAAUGGCGUAAUGAUGGCCAGGCUGUCUCCACCCGAGACUCAGUGAAAUUGAACUCGCUGUGAAGAUGCAGUGUACCCGCGGCAAGACGGAAAGACCCCGUGAACCUUUACUAUAGCUUGACACUGAACAUUGAGCCUUGAUGUGUAGGAUAGGUGGGAGGCUUUGAAGUGUGGACGCCAGUCUGCAUGGAGCCGACCUUGAAAUACCACCCUUUAAUGUUUGAUGUUCUAACGUUGACCCGUGAUCCGGGUUGCGGACAGUGUCUGGUGGGUAGUUUGACUGGGGCGGUCUCCUCCUAAAGAGUAACGGAGGAGCACGAAGGUUGGCUAAUCCUGGUCGGACAUCAGGAGGUUAGUGCAAUGGCAUAAGCCAGCUUGACUGCGAGCGUGACGGCGCGAGCAGGUGCGAAAGCAGGUCAUAGUGAUCCGGUGGUUCUGAAUGGAAGGGCCAUCGCUCAACGGAUAAAAGGUACUCCGGGGAUAACAGGCUGAUACCGCCCAAGAGUUCAUAUCGACGGCGGUGUUUGGCACCUCGAUGUCGGCUCAUCACAUCCUGGGGCUGAAGUAGGUCCCAAGGGUAUGGCUGUUCGCCAUUUAAAGUGGUACGCGAGCUGGGUUUAGAACGUCGUGAGACAGUUCGGUCCCUAUCUGCCGUGGGCGCUGGAGAACUGAGGGGGGCUGCUCCUAGUACGAGAGGACCGGAGUGGACGCAUCACUGGUGUUCGGGUUGUCAUGCCAAUGGCACUGCCCGGUAGCUAAAUGCGGAAGAGAUAAGUGCUGAAAGCAUCUAAGCACGAAACUUGCCCCGAGAUGAGUUCU